GUAGGGGGCAAGCGUUGUCCGGAAUCAUUGGGCGUAAAGCGCGUGUAGGCGGCCAGGUAGGUCUGCUGUGAAAACUCGAGGCUCAACUUCGAGAUGUCGGCGGAAACCAUCUGGCUAGAGUCCGGAAGAGGAGAGUAGAAUUCCUGGUGUAGCGGUGAAAUGCGCAGAUAUCAGGAGGAAUACCCGUGGCGAAAGCGGCUCUCUGGGACGGUACUGACGCUGAGACGCGAAAGCGUGGGGAGCAAACAGGAUUAGAUACCCUGGUAGUCCACGCCGUAAACGAUGGGUGCUAGGUGUGGGCGGUGUCGACUCCGUCCGUGCCGAAGCUAACGCAUUAAGCACCCCGCCUGGGGAGUACGGCCGCAAGGCUAAA
rnacentral:rRNA from 1 species